rnacentral:rRNA from 1 species
ACAAGUAGUCAGAGCCCGUUAAUGGGUGAUGGCGUGCCUUUUGUAGAAUGAACCGGCGAGUUACGAUUUGAUGCAAGGUUAAGCAGUAAAUGUGGAGCCGUAGCGAAAGCGAGUCUGAAUAGGGCGUUUAGUAUUUGGUCGUAGACCCGAAACCAGGUGAUCUACCCUUGGUCAGGUUGAAGUUCAGGUAACACUGAAUGGAGGACCGAACCGACUUACGUUGAAAAGUGAGCGGAUGAACUGAGGGUAGCGGAGAAAUUCCAAUCGAACCUGGAGAUAGCUGGUUCUCUCCGAAAUAGCUUUAGGGCUAGCCUCAAGUGAUGAUUAUUGGAGGUAGAGCACUGUUUGGACGAGGGGCCCCUCUCGGGUUACCGAAUUCAGACAAACUCCGAAUGCCAAUUAAUUUAACUUGGGA